rnacentral:rRNA from 1 species
CGGAGGGUGCAAGCGUUAAUCGGAAUUACUGGGCGUAAAGCGCGCGUAGGCGGUUAUUUAAGUCAGAUGUGAAAUCCCCGGGCUUAACCUGGGAAUUGCAUUUGAGACUGGAUGGCUAGAGUAUGGUAGAGGUGAGUGGAAUUUCAGGUGUAGCGGUGAAAUGCGUAGAUAUCUGAAGGAACAUCAGUGGCGAAGGCGACUCACUGGGCCAUUACUGACGCUGAGGUGCGAAAGCGUGGGUAGCAAACAGGA